rnacentral:rRNA from 1 species
UAAGCGGAGGAAAAGAAACUAACUAGGAUUCCCUCAGUAGCUGCGAGCGAACAGGGACGAGCCCAGCACCGAAUCCCGCGGCCGAUACCGGACGCCGGGAAAUGUGGUGUUAGGGAGGAUCCGUUUAUCCCGAGGUCGUGUGGUGCGUCCAAGUCCUUCUUGAACGGGGCCACAGCCCAUAGAGGGUGCCAGGCCCGUAGCGACCGCCGCCGAUCGCGGGAGGAUCUCUCCUCAGAGUCGGGUUGCUUGAGAGUGCAGCCCUAAGCGGGUGGUAAACUCCAUCUAAGGCUAAAUAUGACCACGAGACCGAUAGCGAACAAGUACCGUGAGGGAAAGUUGAAAAGCACUUUGAAGAGAGAGUUCAAGAGUACGUGAAACCGUUCAGGGGUAAACCUGAGAAGCCCGAAAGGUCGAAAGGGGAAAUUCAUUCGCGUCUCGCGACGCGUCCGCGCCUUCCGUUCUUCGAACCGGCGUCGAACGCGUGCACUUUUCCCCUAGUAGGACGUCGCGAUCCGUUGGGUGUCGGUCUCCGCGGUGGAGUCCGUGCGGUCGCUUCGCACGAACCCGCGGAAACCCGGCCGACUCGCCCGACGGUAUACAGAUGGCGCGGAGCCGCUACACAAUUAGCGCCCGGCCCGCGGCAAGCGCGUCCGCGACGAUGAUCGGACCCGGUGCCGGUCUCGUCCCCGGACGACUGUUGGCCGCUCUCGGACAGACUCCGACGAAACGCCGAUCUGCGACGCUAUAGCUUUGGGUACUUUCAGGACCCGUCUUGAA